ACUUAAAAAUUUCAACAAGUUGGUAUGCUAUCAUAAUCUUGCAUAGGUAAGCACUUACAUAAUCUUCCAUAGUUUUCUCUCUAUCUCAAUCUGUUGAGUACUAUAUUGUAUUGAUUCCAUUAUAGAAAAUCUCCAUUCACUCAUUCCCAACAAAAUGGAAUCCCAAGAGUCUCAACUUCACUUUGUAUUAUUUCCACUUAUGUCCCCAGGUCACAUGCUUCCUAUGAUAGACAUAGCAACAACAUUAACACAACAAAACAACAUCAUAGUCACCAUUGUCACUACUCCACACAACGCUUCUCGUUUCUCACAAAUUCAUCACAAAAUUCGAGUACUUCAACUUCAAUUCCCAUCUCAAGAUGCAGGCUUUCCAGAAGGGUGUGAGAAUUUCGACAUGCUUCCAUCAAUGUCAAUGGGCUAUUCGUUCUUCGCCGCAGCAAAUAAACUUCUACAACAACAAGCUGAACAAGCUUUUGAAAAGCUAACACCAAAGCCAAAUUGCAUAAUCUCUGAUGUUGGUUUUCCUUACACUUCUCAAAUUGCUAACAAAUUUGGAAUUCCUAGAAUUUCAUUUUAUGGUGUUAGUUGCUUUUGUCUUGUUUGGCAACAAAAAGUGAUUAUCUCUAAUGUUAUGGAGAAAAUAGCAACAGAUUCUGAGUAUUUUCUCAUACCUGAUAUCCCUCACAAAAUUCAGAUCACAAAAGCACAACCCCCUUCGUCAUCGGACGAUGGAAAUUGGAAGGAGUUUGUUGAUAAAAUGGCUGCAGCUGAAAUGAUUUCUUAUGGUGUUAUUGUGAAUUCUUUUGAGGAAUUGGAACCUGAAUAUGUGAGUGAUUUGAAGAAAACUAGGAAUGGUAAAGUUUGGUGUGUUGGUCCUGUUUCACUUAGAAACAAGAAUCAUUCAGAUAUGGCUCAAAGAGGGAAAAACAAUAAAGUAGCUUCUUCAAAUGAUGUUGAAAAUUGUCUUAAGUGGCUUGAUUUGCAAGAGUCGAAUUCGGUUAUCUAUGUAUGUUUAGGAAGUAUAUGUAAUUUAACUUCUUUGCAGUUCAUAGAGAUUGGUAUGGCAUUAGAAGCAUGUGAAAGGCCAUUCAUUUGGGUUAUUAGGGAAAGAAAUCAAACAGAAGAGUUGAAUAAUUGGAUCAAGGAAUCGAGUUUCGAGGAAAGGACUAAGGAGAAAGGUUUUUUGAUAAAGGGUUGGGCUCCUCAGGUAUUGAUAUUGUCACAUCCUGCGAUUGGAGGAUUUUUGACGCAUUGUGGUUGGAAUUCGACGUUGGAAGCAAUAUGUACUGGUGUGCCAAUGAUUACGUGGCCGUUAUUUGGUGAUCAGUUUUUUAAUGAGAGGUUUGUCAUAGAUGUGUUGAGAGUCGGCGUGAUGGUUGGAGUGGAGAGUCCGGUGAAUUGGGGAGAGGAAGAGAAUGUUGGCGUGUUGGUGAAGAAAGAAGAUGUUGAGAGGGCUAUAGAGAAAUUGAUGGACUGCGCGAGUUAUGAGAGUGAAGAGAGAAGAAAAAGGGCUAAAGAGGUUGCAGAGAUGGCUAAGAGAUGUGUAGAAGAAGGAGGAUCUUCUCAGUUGAAUGUUAGUCUAUUAAUUCAAGAUAUCCUUCAACUCUCAACAAAGUAGAUUGAUUUUGUUUCCAGGUUUUUUACAAUUACUUUUUAUGUUCUCUUAAUUUUUCAAUGCUGAAGGUUGAAUUGCUUAUACAGUACUUUUGGUUAUGUAUAUGUUGUGAACUGCUUCUAUAUUUUGCUGUGAAUAGCAUAUCAGAUUUUUUGGUUGUGCUCCAUUCUGUAUAUUAGUGCUUGCUACAUUAGCAAUAAUGAUUUAUAGGCUCUUAAUAUUUAUCAAAAUUAUAGAAAGCUGUAAUAUUCUAAAACUAAGAAGAAGCUAGCUAAUAAGAUUGAUAGGCUCUUAUCAUUUUAUCCAAUUGAACAACCGCCUAAGGGUAUGUUUGGGAGUUUGGAGGGGAGGGGAGGGGAAGGCUUCGAAAAACAAAAUUUUAAAAAAAUAUAAGAAAAUAUUUGACAUUUUUUGAAAAAAUGAUUUUGUUUAGAAUGAUAAAAGAGUAAUUAUUAUUAAUAUAUUUUUAAUUUUGGGAAUACUAUAACAACCUAAAAGAUAUUUGGAACAUUUAUGUAAGCCCUUCAAAACCCUCCAAAACCCUCCUUCAAUACAAUUUUUGAGUUCCCCCAUUUUAUGGGGUUUUUGGUGUUAUAAAUAAACUCAAACCCUCCAAAACCCUCCUACCCAAAAUCUUUUUAUCCUUUUCACCCAAUUCUUCCUAUUUUUCAAAACCCUCCCCUCCCUUCCCCUCCAAACUCCCAAACAUAGCCUAAAUGAAUAUUAAGCCUCGAAAGUGUAUUCCUUCAAAACCUCUUCUUCUUGGCCUAAUAGAAGAAACUAGUGUUGGAGUCCACCUCUUUUAUCCACUUAUCCCUUAAAAUUAUUUUUAACACUUUUCAUAUUUUUUUUAUUGACAAAAAAACUUUUGUUAUUAUUUAUCUAAAAAUUAGUUUAUUUUUUUAAAAAAAUAAUUCACUUUGGAGAAGUAAUAAAAAUUUGAAUUUUCGGUAUUCUUUUUGAAAAUUUUGGUAUACAAAAUUGCAUUUUAACUGAAAAUUAUUCAUAAGUUUCAAAAUUUCCAGAGGCGAUUUAUCGGAAAUUUUGAAAGUUUCGGUGCUAAUAUAGAAAACUAAAGAAACUUAUCGAAAUUUUUGAAAUUUUCGGUUAGCAACAAAAUUAACAAAAAUUUUCAUAUUAUCGAUAUACUAGAAAUUUUGAAAUUACUUGAAAUUUCUAGUAUGUCUGCAGACAAAAUUCUUUACUUGUAUGGUCGACACCUUCUUCGACGAAUUCCUAUACAAAUUUUACAGAUUUUUUUACAACAUAUACCAUAUGUUUCCUAUAUAACUACUGCAAUUUUAAAUUGUUUUCCCGUAUUUAUGAAAGUGAUAGUUUAAUAAUUAUGUGUUGUAAUUGAUAGAUAUUUAAGUCACAAUAUGAAGUGUUAACAUAGGCACAUGUUACUGGUAAACGACAUGGUUUUAUUGUUGUCACUAUUUGUUCUGAUUCUGCUAAUGGAGUGCCAAGGAGGAAGGAUAAAUUGAUUAUGGGUUGUGAGAGAGGAGGAAAUUAAAAAAAGAAGAAAUACAUCCGAAAUCACUAAAUCCUCAUAAGACAUUUAUAGUAUGAUAGUUAAAUGUCUGUUUAGGCUGAGAUCUGUUCCAAGUGGUAUUGGUUGGAAAGUGAUGGUUAGGUGCAGGAUGCACAAUCAUAAAACUAUCUUAGGAUUUGGAAGGCCAUGACAUAUUGGAUCGUCUAAACGAUCAUGAAAGAAAGUUUGUGAAUGACAUGAUGAAGUAUACUAUGGCUCUAAGGUACAUAGGUGCUGCUUUAAAAGACAAAGAUCUAGAAAACCUCACGAGUGUUAUCCAAGUGUAUAAAGCUACAUACAUAAUGGGCAAGAAAGUUCCAUUGAAAGAAAUGCACAUGUUGUCAAGCCUUAUUCAUAAACAGAAAUACAUGUGUUGGACUAAAAAUAGGGACAAGUUAUAUGUUGUAGCUGAUUUCUUUUGGGCACAUCCUGAUUCUGUGAAGUUGUUGAAUGUGUUUCAUUUGGUGUUGAUUUUUGAUUUCACAAACAAAAUAAAAUAGAUAUCAGAUACCAUUAGUUGAGAUUGUUGGUGUUAAGUCAAUGAAGUUGAUGUUUUCAAUUUCCUUCGCCUAUUUGGAACAUGAAAGGGAGGAGAAUUUCACAUGGGCACUAGAGAAGCUCAAAGAGUUGUUCUCUUAAGAGUAAUUUCUAUCGAAGGUUGUGCUCCCAAAUGCAUCACAUCUAUUGUGUUCGUUUCAUAUUUCAAAAAUCAUGAGCAUGAAAUGUAAAGAGUGCAUCAAAUCAGAAAGACAAUAACAAGUCACGGAUCUAUGGAACAACAUCAUGUAUUCAAAUACAGAAGCUGAGUUUGUCGGACACAUCAAACACUUUGAGACUGUUUGUGCUAAUAUUCCUUUAUUUGUUAAAUAUGUAAAUAAAAUAUGGUUGACAACUUAUAAAUAAAUGUUUGUUUCUUCUAGGACUAACAAAGUUACUCAUUUUGGAAACACAAUAUCAAACAGGUACACAAAACGUGACAGCUUAAUGUUAUUACAUAACUAAUCAUAAGUUAACAUAUAUUUACAUAUAUGGUUUUUAGGGUUGAGUCUGCUCAUUAGAGACUAAAAAGCAUGCUGACUACAAGCCUGAAAGAUUUAUGCCGAAGUUGGGAUGUUGUGAACACCAUGUUGAAGUUGCAGCUAGGUUCAAUCAGAGUGUCAUUUCAAAAAAUUAUUGUCAACAUUGAUCGUCGGUAUAACACUCCUUUCUAUUCCAGGUUGCACGGUGUUGUCUCAAGACAAUGUAUAUAGCUCAUUGGAAAGGAACAAGAAUGGGCCAAGUUUGUUGGUUCUAGCCAAGAAAUAUGUGGUUGCACUACUACAAAACACACAUACAACAACGUCAAAGUCACCACGGUUCUUCCCAAAACCGUAGUGACACUUCUUAACUCAUGCGCUAACAUUUUUUUAAUUAAAAAUUAAGGGUAUAAUUACGAUUAAUUUCAUGACUGUGGUGAUACAAUCAAGCACUAUGCCAAAAUUGAUUUUUUGUAUCGCCUUAUUUAAUAGCACUUUUAAAAAAAAAUGCUAUUAAAAGAGAAAAAAUAAAUCUAUAAUAGCACUUUAGGGUCGGACGUUAUUAUAAAAUACAUACAAUAUAAUUUUG